CCUACGGGAGGCAGCAGUGAGGAAUAUUGGUCAAUGGCCGCAAGUCUGAACCAGCCAAGUCGCGUGAGGGAUGACGGUCCUAUGGAUUGUAAACCUCUUUUGUCAGGGAGCAAAGGGCGCCACGUGUGGCGUUUUGCGAGUACCUGAAGAAAAAGCAUCGGCUAACUCCGUGCCAGCAGCCGCGGUAAUACGGAGGAUGCGAGCGUUAUCCGGAUUUAUUGGGUUUAAAGGGUGCGGAGGCGGUUUUUUAAGUCAGCGGUAAAAUUUCGGGGCUCAACCCCGUAGUUGCCUUUAAACUUGUAGGAGUUGAGUGGAGUUGCAGUAUGCGGAAUGUGUGGUGUAGCGGUGAAAUGCUUAGAGAUCAUACAGAACACCGAUUGCGAAGGCAGCAUACCAACGUAUAUCUGACGUUGAGGCACGAAAGCGUGGGUAUCGAACAGGAUUAGAUACCCUUGUAGUC
rnacentral:rRNA from 1 species